CCUACGGGGGGCAGCAGUGGGGAAUAUUGGGCAAUGGGCGCAAGCCUGACCCAGCAACGCCGCGUGAAGGAAGAAGGCUUUCGGGUUGUAAACUUCUUUUCUCAGGGACGAAGAAAGUGACGGUACCCGAGGAAUAAGCCACGGCUAACUACGUGCCAGCAGCCGCGGUAAUACGUAGGUGACAAGCGUUAUCCGGAUUUAUUGGGUGUAAAGGGCGUGUAGGCGGGAGCGCAAGUCAGAUGUGAAAACUCAGGGCUCAACCCUGAGCCUGCAUUUGAAACUGUGUUUCUUGAGUGCUGGGGAGGCAAUCGGAAUUCCGUGUGUAGCGGUGAAAUGCGUAGAUAUACGGAGGAACACCAGUGGCGAAGGCGGAUUGCUGGACAGUAACUGACGCUGAGGCGCGAAAGCGUGGGGAGCAAACAGGAUUAGAUACCCGAGUAGUC
rnacentral:rRNA from 1 species